UUCCUUUCCAAGCCAUUCACUUCAUGACCUA
rnacentral:piRNA from 1 species